rnacentral:rRNA from 1 species
UGCCAGCAGCCGCGGUAAUACGGAGGGUGCAAGCGUUGUUCGGAAUUAUUGGGCGUAAAGCGCGUGUAGGCGGUUCGUUAAGUCUGAUGUGAAAGCCCGGGGCUCAACCCCGGAAGUGCAUUGGAGACUGGCGAACUUGAGUACGGGAGAGGAAAGUGGAAUUCCGAGUGUAGGGGUGAAAUCCGUAGAUAUUCGGAGGAACACCAGUGGCGAAGGCGGCUUUCUGGACCGAUACUGACGCUGAGGGAUGAAGGCUGGGGGAGCAAACCGGAUUAGAUA